CUUAGUUCCUGGACUGCUUCCUGAAGCUCCUGAUCUUGCCCUGAUUCCGUAUCCCUAUUUUCUUGAGGCUGCUGCUCCUGCUCUACAAAGGGUGCACAAAAAAACCAAGGAUAAAGAGUACUGUGCAGUGCAGACAUCAAGGUGGUACAUGUGGAAAAAAGUGCACCAUGGCAAAAAAGAUUGGCAAGUGUGACAAAAAAUUCCAAUGUUGCAAAGGAACUGAGUGGAAAGACUAAAAAAAGCAGCAGGAACCGAUGAGAUCCUCAUUGUUGCAACUGUUUCUACCUCUUCACCUUCCAAAGAUGGAGAAGGAGAAGGUUCAAGGUCACAGUAUUUGGAUGUGAAGAUUUCCUAAUCCUUUUAUUCUUACUGUUUGGAUGUAGUUCUGCAUAGAGGUGUAGACAUAUUAUAUGCAAUACAAAUGCAGUGGAUUUACCUGUGAACACAGAAUGUAGACCAAAGGUUUAUGUGCACAACAUUCAACACACUUUAAAAUGAUUUCCUGCUUUUAUGCUUUAGCCCCCCCCCCCUACCAAAAUAAAGUGAUUGGGAAUGCAGUU
rnacentral:lncRNA from 11 species